rnacentral:lncRNA from 1 species
AUGAAGACCCAGAGAAACGUUCCUGUGAGCAAGUUCCCAGUAGUAUGGCCAGCUCCCCAUGCUCUUCCUGGCAGUAAGCCAGCAAGUGGGCCUCCAGCGGAAACCGUCCAAGGAGCUCCAGCUGUCUCCUGGUGUUAUUUUUGGAUACUUGUGAUAUCUACUUCAGUGGUGGUUGUCCCUCUCAGUCAGUGUGGUGGCUCGUCUCCACAACAACCCUUGGAAAUGCUGUCUUUCUGUGAUGCUGGGGAUGGUGCCCAGGGUUUCACACAUGUUAAACAAGGAUUGUAACAUGGAGCCAUACCCCAGCAUUUGGAGAUAUUGACUUGGUGACGAAGAAAGAGCACCCCAGAGCAAAGUAUGAGGUUCCUUUCCUGAACCACAGAUUAUACUGGUCCCUGGUUUAGUGGUGGGGAAUCUCAGUUCUUCAUUGCAGUAGUUGAAGACCAGCUCCAGACCUCAGCCAGAUGGCACAUCCAACCUCAGGUAAGUGAAUCAGGUCUCUCUGAGUCAACAAACUAUUUUUUUUUCUGUUUCCGUGGAGCCUCCAAAUGUCUAACAUUACCCUAGGACCAGGGCUGCCUGUGGGACUCGCAGGAUCACUGGGCAUGGCCUGAAGUCACCGACAUCCUGUUGUUUUGUUACAUCAAGAACCGUUUGUAUUGUGACCAUAAAUCUGCAUCUCAGAUACUCUUACUCACUCUACCAAAGGGGAGUCAUAGAAACAGAUUGUUUCUUCCGCAAACACCAUUUAUCUGCAGGUUAAAAGGCAUGCUGCUAACAGAAUGGUUAGCAAUAUUGAUCAUGCAUUUUGCAGCAGGAGAUUAGGAAGUCAUAAACAUGUUUACGUUUUGCCGGUAGUUUAAGCCAUCAAGAUUCUGUCCAGAGUAGCUAGCACACAAGGGUGGUGCUUGCAGAUCUUGUCUGAGUCUCCAGCUAAUCUUUUUCUUCAGAGGUGCAGGGAUGAAAGCUGGUCACUGGCCAGAGGGUUUGAAUCCAGAGCUCUGCUUCGAGAACACUAGUGAUUUUUACCCACACCUCUCUGUCUUUGUGUACUUUAUCUAAAGCAUGAGUAAGUUCCCACUGUAGCCUGGCCUGACCCUGUUCUUUUUAAAUAAGCCAGAAGCUGCAGGUCUUUAAAAGUGCCUCUCAUCUGGGUGUGGUGGUACAGUGGUGCAGUCCCAGCACUCAGGAGGUGGGAGCACUAAGUGGACCAGGAGGUGGAGAUCAGCUUGGAUAUAAAACAAAAUAAGUUAAUUAAAAUAAAUCAAAAUGGGCUGGUGAGAUGGCUCA